GAUGAACGCUAGCGGCAGGCUUAACACAUGCAAGUCGAGGGGCAGCACGAGUAGCAAUACUUGGUGGCGACCGGCGCAAGGGUGCGUAACGCGUGAGCAACAUGCCCGUAUCAGGGGGAUAAUCCAGGGAAACUUGGUCUAAUACCCCAUAGUAAUUAUUAGAGGCAUCUUUAAUAAUUUAAAGCUUCGGUGGAUACGGAUUGGCUCGCGUGACAUUAGCUAGAUGGUAGGGUAACGGCUUACCAUGGCUAUGAUGUCUAGGGGUUCUGAGAGGAAGGUCCCCCACACUGGAACUGAGACACGGUCCAGACUCCUACGGGAGGCAGCAGUGAGGAAUAUUGGACAAUGGAUGGAAAUCUGAUCCAGCCAUGCCGCGUGCAGGAAGACGGUCCUAUGGAUUGUAAACUGCUUUUGUAUGGGAGCAAUAAGGUCUUCGUGAAGACUGAUGAGAGUACCAUACGAAUAAGCAUCGGCUAACUCCGUGCCAGCAGCCGCGGUAAUACGGAGGAUGCGAGCGUUAUCCGGAUUUAUUGGGUUUAAAGGGUGCGUAGGCGGUUAUAUAAGUCAGUGGUGAAAGUUUUCGGCUCAACCGGAAAAUUGCCAUUGAUACUGUAUAGCUAGAAUAUGGUUGCUGUGAGUAGAAUGUGUGGUGUAGCGGUGAAAUGCAUAGAUAUCACACAGAAUACCGAUUGCGAAGGCAUCUCACAAAGCCAUCAUUGACGCUGAGGCACGAAAGUGUGGGGAUCAAACAGGAUUAGAUACCCUGGUAGUCCACACUGUAAACGAUGAUAACUAGCUGUCGGCGAUACACCGUCGGUGGCCCAGCGAAAGCGAUAAGUUAUCCACCUGGGGAGUACGACCGCAAGGUUGA
rnacentral:rRNA from 1 species